rnacentral:rRNA from 1 species
AGGACGAACGCUGGCGGCGUGCUUAACACAUGCAAGUGGAGCGACGAACCAGGCUUCGGCCUGGGGCAGAGCCGCGAACGGGUGAGUAACACGUGGGUAACCUGCCUCGAUGACCGGGACAACCCGAGGAAACCCGGGCUAAUACCGGAUGUGCUCCUUCACAUCAGUGAAGACAGGAAAGGAAGCUUCGGCCUCCGCAUCGAGAUGGGCCCGCGGCCCAUUAGCUUUGUUGGUGAGGUAACGGCUCACCAAGGCUGCGAUGGGUAGCUGGUCUGAGAGGACAUCAGCCACACUGGGACUGAGACACGGCCAGACUCCGUACGGGAGCAGCAGUGGGAAUCGUUAGCGCAAGUGCGCGAAAGCGUAGACGCAGACGAACCGCCGCGU